GACGAACGCUGGCGGCGUGCUUAACACAUGCAAGUCGAACGGAAAGGCCCUGCUUUUGUGGGGUGCUCGAGUGGCGAACGGGUGAGUAACACGUGAGUAACCUGCCCUUGACUUUGGGAUAACUUCAGGAAACUGGGGCUAAUACCGGAUAGGAGCUCCUGCUGCAUGGUGGGGGUUGGAAAGUUUCGGCGGUUGGGGAUGGACUCGCGGCUUAUCAGCUUGUUGGUGGGGUAGUGGCUUACCAAGGCUUUGACGGGUAGCCGGCCUGAGAGGGUGACCGGCCACAUUGGGACUGAGAUACGGCCCAGACUCCUACGGGAGGCGGCAGUGAGGAAUAUUGCACAAUGGGCGGAAGCCUGAUGCAGCAACGCCGCGUGCGGGAUGACGGCCUUCGGGUUGUAAACCGCUUUCGCCUGUGACGAAGCGUGAGUGACGGUAAUGGGUAAAGAAGCACCGGCUAACUACGUG
rnacentral:rRNA from 1 species